CAGGUAUCAGCUGAUAGAAAUUCCCCAUCCCUGAAUCCUGAUUGUUAAAUGCUCUAUAUGUCUUGGAUUAAUCUUGAUUUAAUGUUUUGGUAGCUAACCCUAUACCAACCUCUAACCCUAUACCAAACUUACCCCUAACUCUAUGCUUACAUUAACUCUAACUGUACAACUACCCUAACCUCACCCAGCAUUCCUUUACUUUAUACUAACACAAACCUUAAAACUAAAAACACUGUAAGUAACAUUUAUGGAUUCCUUCUGCUAAUGUCAUCACUGGUAUCAACAGAGAAAUUUCCUAGAAAAAUAAGAGCGG